AAAAAGAAAAAGAAGAGAGAAGGUUAGCACUCUCCUUGACAAGACAGAAGAGGCUUUGGCCUGCAACACAUAUGGUUAAAGCAUGGCCACCUACUUCGUAGCAUCAACUGUUUUUU
rnacentral:ncRNA from 1 species